UUAUAGCAGCAAUGUUCCAUCAUCUAGUGGAAAGCCUUCUCAGAAUAGUGGAGGCUGUUAUAGCAGCAAAGGGGGGACAAACUCCAUAUUAAUGCCCAUGAUUUUGGAAUGAGAUGUUCAAUGAGCAGGUGUCCACAUACUUUUGGUCAUGUAGUGUAUCUACCUACUGUUAGAUAAUAGCAGGUGUCCACAUACUUUUGGUCAUAUAGUGUAUACAUCUCAUCAUUCAAUGAUUAUUUAAUUAUCACUAUCUCACUAUCUUUGUUUUAUUUUUACACCAGAUGAACUCAAAGGAGAGCUGAAGGAGGUCAAAGGAGAGAGGGGUGAGUUGCACAACUGCAUGAAAGUCUGCAUGCAUUUCAUUGAUUUAAGUGAUUUAAAAAAUUAAUACACUAUAUAUUACAUUGGUUAACUACACUAUAUAUUACACUGAUUAACUACACAAUAUAUUACACUGAUUAACUACA